AACGAACGCUGGCGGCAGGCCUAACACAUGCAAGUCGAACGCGCCCUUCGGGGCGAGUGGCGGACGGGUGAGUAUCGCGUGGGAACCUGGCCCUUGGUAUGGAACAACCGCGGGAAACUGCGGCUAAUACCGUAUACGCCCUGAGGGGGAAAGAUUUAUCGCCGAGGGAUGGGCCCGCGUCUGAUUAGCUAGUUGGUGAGGUAACGGCUCACCAAGGCAUCGAUCAGUAGCUGGUCUGAGAGGAUGAUCAGCCACACUGGGACUGAGACACGGCCCAGACUCCUACGGGAGGCAGCAGUGGGGAA
rnacentral:rRNA from 1 species